rnacentral:tRNA from 1 species
CGGGGUGUAGUAUAAUGGUAGUACGCGUGUUUUGGGAACACGUAGCCCGAGUUCGAUUCUCGGCACCCCGACCA